rnacentral:ncRNA from 2 species
CAGGCAAAUAGACCUACUGGUGCCUUCUUGUCCGCAAAGCGGCAAAGGCUGAAACGGGAAUGAGGAACGGGCGGACCCAUACAGGGCGCCCCAAGCCACAACCGCCCCCGCGACUGUAUGCGGCGAGCGUGCGUUCAAUUGGCCACUGGCCCGGCAACGGGUUGGGAAGGCGGACAGCACGUAACGACCCGCGAGUCAGGAGACCGGCCAGAGGACGGAACAUAUC